rnacentral:rRNA from 1 species
GUAGUCCAUGCCGUAAACGUUGGGCACUAGGUGUGGGGGACAUUCCACGUUUUCCGCGCCGUAGCUAACGCAUUAAGUGCCCCGCCUGGGGAGUACGGCCGCAAGGCUAAAACUCAAAGGAAUUGACGGGGGCCCGCACAAGCGGCGGAGCAUGCGGAUUAAUUCGAUGCAACGCGAAGAACCUUACCAAGGCUUGACAUGUUCCAGACCGGGCUAGAGAUAGUCCUUCCCUUCGGGGCUGGUUCACAGGUGGUGCAUGGUUGUCGUCAGCUCGUGUCGUGAGAUGUUGGGUUAAGUCCCGCAACGAGCGCAACCCUCGUUCCAUGUUGCCAGCACGUAGUGGUGGGGAC